rnacentral:lncRNA from 1 species
GUCAAAGUCAUGGCAGAAGGCAAGGCAAUCACACGUAGCAAAUGCAAAGCAACCAUGAGGGAUUUUGUGAGUAGAACCGUUCGUCAAUCCACAUCAAGUUUGACACAGACAAUGUACUUUUCAUACAACAAAACCAAGCCACAUCGGCAACAAAGAACCUAUGUAGUUCCACAUAAGCAUAUUUUUCGAUAGAUCCACCUGAUCGUCUUGACGUUCAAUAUUUCAUACGCCACAACACAUGAACCUGCUGAGUAGUUUGUUCAGUCACUUGAAACAACAUUUUCUCCAUUGAUAACAAAGUUAUGAACCUUGAACUAACCUUAUCAAAGAUUGGAUUAUCAGCAACAGCUUCCUAUGCGUAGUGUCGAAGCCGAAGACACAUAAGAGAUUUCUUUCAAUAUUUGACCAACCCCGUAGUUAUUGUC